UACGAAGGGGACUAGCGUUGUUCGGAAUUACUGGGCGUAAAGCGCACGUAGGCGGCUUUGUAAGUUAGAGGUGAAAGCCCAGGGCUUAACCCUGGAAUUGCCUUUAAGACUGCAUCGCUAGAAUCGUGGAGAGGUGAGUGGAAUUCCGAGUGUAGAGGUGAAAUUCGUAGAUAUUCGGAAGAACACCAGUGGCGAAGGCGACUCACUGGACACGUAUUGACGCUGAGGUGCGAAAGCGUGGGGAGCAAACAGG
rnacentral:rRNA from 1 species